UUUCUUUCGACUCGCAAAUAAUUAACUCUCGACUCCUCACAACUCGACUCUUAGUUAACGACUGCCGAUUAAUUCGUCUUUCCCCUUAAGCAUCCCUUUGCCUUUUCUCAUACCCCCACCACGAACGCCUUCUUCCGCGUAACUAUUCGACCGAGAAACAGACAACAUAUUGAUGGGCCGCUUGGUGGAUUCAAGUUUCCCGACCCUUUUGGCCUGUCG